rnacentral:rRNA from 1 species
UACGUAGGGCGCAAGCGUUGUCCGGAAUUAUUGGGCGUAAAGAGCUCGUAGGUGGUUUGUCGCGUCUGCCGUGAAAUCCCGGGGCUCAACCCCGGAACUGCAUUGGAUACUGCUCUGCUUGAGUACUGGAGAGGGAACUGGAAUUUACGGUGUAGCAGUGAAAUGCGUAGAGAUCGUAAGGAAGGCCAGUGGCGAAGGCGAGUUCCUGGACAGUUACUGACGCUGAGGCACGAAGGCCAGGGGAGCAAACGGG